GUGAACCACUUCGGUGGUGGAAAGUAGCGCACGGGUGAGUAACGCGUGGGAAUUUACACUUCAGUACGGAACAACAGUUGGAAACGACUGCUAAUACCGUAUAAUGACUCCGGUCCAAAGAUUUAUCGCUGAAGGAUAAGCCCGCGUCUGAUUAGCUAGUUGGUAAGGUAAGAGCUUACCAAGGCGACGAUCAGUAGCUGGUUUGAGAGGAUGACCAGCCACACUGGAACUGAGACACGGUCCAGACUCCUACGGGAGGCAGCAGUGAGGAAUAUUGGACAAUGGGCGAAAGCCUGAUCCAGCCAUGCCGCGUGAGUGAAGAAGGCCUUCGGGUUGUAAAGCUCUUUCAAUCGUGAAGAUAAUGACGGUAGCGAUAGAAGAAGCUCCGGCUAACUCAGUGCCAGCAGCCGCGGUAAUACUGGGGGAGCGAGCGUUGUUCGGAAUCACUGGGCGUAAAGCGUGCGCAGGCGGAUUGGAAAGUCAGAAGUGAAAGCCCAGGGCUCAACCCUGGAACUGCUUUUGAAACUUCCUUUCUAGAGUAUGGUAGAGGUUGGGAGAAUUCCUAGUGUAGAGGUGAAAUUCGUAGAUAUUAGGAGGAAUACCAGUGGCGUAGGCGC
rnacentral:rRNA from 1 species